rnacentral:rRNA from 1 species
GGCGGACGGGUGAGUAAUGCUUAGGAAUCUGCCUAUUAGUGGGGGACAACAUCUCGAAAGGGAUGCUAAUACCGCAUACGUCCUACGGGAGAAAGCAGGGGAUCUUCGGACCUUGCGCUAAUAGAUGAGCCUAAGUCGGAUUAGCUAGUUGGUGGGGUAAAGGCCUACCAAGGCGACGAUCUGUAGCGGGUCUGAGAGGAUGAUCCGCCACACUGGGACUGAGACACGGCCCAGACUCCUACGGGAGGCAGCAGUGGGGAAUAUUGGACAAUGGGGGGAACCCUGAUCCAGCCAUGCCGCGUGUGUGAAGAAGGCCUUAUGGUUGUAAAGCACUUUAAGCGAGGAGGAGGCUACUCUAGUUAAUACCUAGAGAUAGUGGACGUUACUCGCAGAAUAAGCACCGGCUAACUCUGUGCCAGCAGCCGCGGUAAUACAGAGGGUGCGAGCGUUAAUCGGAUUUACUGGGCGUAAAGCGUGCGUAGGCGGCUUAUUAAGUCGGAUGUGAAAUCCCCGAGCUUAACUUGGGAAUUGCAUUCGAUACUGGUGAGCUAGAGUAUGGGAGAGGAUGGUAGAAUUCCAGGUGUAGCGGUGAAAUGCGUAGAGAUCUGGAGGAAUACCGAUGGCGAAGGCAGCCAUCUGGCCUAAUACUGACGCUGAGGUACGAAAGCAUGGGGAGCAAACAGGAUUAGAUACCCUGGUAGUCCAUGCCGUAAACGAUGUCUACUAGCCGUUGGGGCGCUUUGAGGCUUUAGUGGGCGCAGCUAACGCGAUAAGUAGACCCGCCUGGGGGAGUACG